CCUACGGGCGGCAGCAGUGAGGAAUAUUGGUCAAUGGACGAAAGUCUGAACCAGCCAAGUAGCGUGAAGGAUGACUGCCCUAUGGGUUGUAAACUUCUUUUAUAUGGGAAUAAAAUGUUCCACGUGUGGGAUUUUGUAUGUAUCAUAUGAAUAAGGAUCGGCUAACUCCGUGCCAGCAGCCGCGGUAAUACGGAGGAUCCGAGCGUUAUCCGGAUUUAUUGGGUUUAAAGGGAGCGUAGGUGGAUUGUUAAGUCAGUUGUGAAAGUUUGCGGCUCAACCGUAAAAUUGCAGUUGAAACUGGCAGGCUUGAGUACAGUAGCGGUGGGCGGAAUGCGUGGUGUAGCGGUGAAAUGCUUAGAUAUCACGAAGAACUCCGAUUGCGAAGGCAGCUCACUGGACUGCAACUGACACUGAGGCACGAAAGUGUGGGUAUCAAACAGGAUUAGAUACCCUUGUAGUC
rnacentral:rRNA from 1 species